rnacentral:rRNA from 1 species
CAGCCGCCACGGGAAUACGUAGGUGGCAAGCGUUGUCCGGAAUUAUUGGGCGUAAAGGGCUCGCAGGCGGUUUCUUAAGUCUGAUGUGAAAGCCCCCGGCUCAACCGGGGAGGGUCAUUGGAAACUGGGAAACUUGAGCGCAGAAGAGGAGAGUGGAAUUCCACGUGUAGCGGUGAAAUGCGUAGAGAUGUGGAGGAACACCAGUGGCGAAGGCGACUCUCUGGUCUGUAACUGACGCUGAGGAGCGAAAGCGUGGGGAGCGAACAGGAUUAGAUACCCGCGUAGUCCCUGUCUCUUAUAC